GCCACUGUGUGCAUGAAUACCGGAGCAGGUGGUCACUCAAUCUAGUCGAAUAUUGCCACUGUAAAUAACCAAGCACUCAGACAAGCGGUCUCAAUGUUUCUGAUGUCUCUCAAGCCUACUAAGUUGUAGUUGAUAAAAGUUUUGUCUUUUGCUUCAUGUUUUUGCCGCUCCUCUUUCAUUACUUCCUCUGUUUUCAGUAUUAUGUGGUAGCCAACACCAUGCUUGCUUUAUACAACCUCUUAUAGCAUGGUUUCAGUAUCAUGUCACGUGUACAACAAAGUUUAUUAUGUCUCUAUCGGUGAUGGACGUGGCAGCCAGAGCGCAGAGAGAAUGUGGCACACCAGAGAAAACAUAAAGAGAAUACAUGUGACAAAUUUAAUAGUAGCCGGUAGUAAUAGUUACUCUGCAAAUGUAACAUGUGCAUGUUUAGCUAUAUCUUUUAAGGCCUAACGUGCCUCCACACCAUUUGAUUUGUCGGAGUUGCCCAUAAUUUCUAUAGCCAGAGUAUUACAUGGAAUUUUUUUAAUGUUAAUUUAAUUCACUAUCUAAAUGUGAUUUCUGGAGGAAAAAAAUAUUGAACCAGCACAGCGGCCCUUGUAAACACGAGGUCAUCAUCUUGAUUGUUAAAAAUGUUGGAAAAUAAAUCUGAUGAUUUCAUAAAUAUUCAUAUUAUGCCAAACCCGUUACCACCAGGACGACAAUAACUUUUACCUCCGACACCGACGUUGAUGUGUGUUUGUGAACAAUUGUCUGGAGUAAAAAUAUAUAAUUUUCAAAAGUGUUCAACUUUGGACUCGUGGAAAAAAAACUUAACUACAAGCAAUUGUUUACUUGUGAGAUUGAAUCUCACCCGUUUAGAGAUUUCAAUUCACUACCAAAAAUUAACGAACAAAGAAUAAACUUAGUUAUUGGUAGGACAAACUAAUGUCCUAUGGGGACAGACUAAUACCUGUGAACUUGGUGCUUAUGAGUCUGCCUAUAUUAAUGCUUUCUUUCUUAGAAAUACUCGUAGGGGUGCCAAAAAGAUUGGAGUUUUAUAUAUCAUGUUUUUUUACAGUGUGGUAAAAUAAAAUAUAUACUGGCAAAUGGAUAUUUUGUGCAAGUCAAAGGACCAAGGGAGUUUGGGUAUUGAGAAUUUGGAGAUUAAGAACAAAUAUUUGCUUAGUAAGUGGCUUUAUCAGUUAUCCGCUGAGGAAGGGGGUAUUAAUAUCGUACUUGCGUAACAAAUAUCUACACUCCAAGACCUUAUAUGGUUCUUGUGUAGCAAGUAUCUACACUCCAAGACCUUAUCUCAAGUAAUGGCUCAGCCGAAUGAUUCACCCUUUUGGAAGGGCUUGAUGAUGACUAAGGUUUUUGGUUUUAGAGUAAAAUGCAUUAUAAGUCCUAAAACUAUUUAAAGUAUGUCAAUUUAGGCCUAUAACUUCCAAGCUGCAGUUUUGUGUCCAAAACCAAUUCAAGGACUGUUAGUUUAGUCCUAUAAUUUUAAAAUUAUAGUUUUGGAUCCCAAAACUAUUGGAGGUGUGUUAGUUUAGUCCUAAAAGUUUGAAACAAUAGUUUUGGGUCUCAGAACUAUGUCAGUUUGUUCAUUUCAGGUCUUUAACUUGCAUGGCCAACAUUGACCCGCUGAUGUCUCACUUGGACAUGCUUGGACUCUUGCCACGUUGACCCAAUGCACCCACCAGGUUAACCUAUAGAAGGCAUUCAAGAAAAUCGCAACAGGGUUGUCUCGCCUCAUUCUCAUGUCCUCGUCUUCUCCCAUAGGCAAAAUGCUUAGAGGUGUUAGUAAGGAGGCCACCAAUAGCUUAAUGGCUUGAGCUCCAACGAGAAGAGUAGACCGGUCAUCUCAGCGUCACCCAGCACAAUGUGCAAUUACUGCCCAUUCUGAUUGUUGCUAGGGUGGUGUCACUCUCGCCGAUCUUUGUGUCAUCUUCGCAGUUUCUGAGCCCUCCUUCGCGUCGGGGUAACGAUGAGGCCAUGCGAGAGAGAUGGGAUGGUGUCCCCCAUCCCGAUUAGCUCGGGGUCCUCCCAAAGGACGUGCUAAGGGUCAGGAAUGUCAUCCUCCAUGCCGACUGGCUUGGGAUCACCAUGGUGGUCGUGCCAAACAACCUCUCAGCAAGGCUGCCCUGCAGCUCAUGGCUACACAGGUUGUGGGCGUGCAGGUUGCAAUAAAUAUUGUGACUGAAAGCGUAUGGACCACUUUUCGGGUUUCUGGACUUGGGAUGCAUUUUACUCUUUUUCCCAAAAUGAAAAGUUUAUUAUUAGAGAUGGGCCUACCACUUGGUUUUGGGAGAAUAUUUGGGUGAGAGAUACAUAGAUUAGCCUAGCAGAAUACAACGCUUUAUCGUAGAAUGUACGGAGGGCUAUGUGAGUACAACUUGGGUUCUGGUUUUUUUUUUUCGUUUUUCCCUUUAUAUCUAUAUAUUUNNNNNNNNNNNNNNNNNNNNNNNNNNNNNNNNNNNNNNNNNNNNNNNNNNNNNNNNNNNNNNNNNNNNNNNNNNNNNNNNNNNNNNNNNNNNNNNNNNNNCCUCAUGGCAUCGCCGGAGUUCUUCGGCGGCCGGGAACCGCCUGCCUCGACCCACCUCGUCCAGCCGCACUCUGUUUACCCCCCCCCCCGACUACGAUAGUUCUCGUUGUUCUCUCUUGUCCAUGGUGAUCUCCUCCUCUCUGGUUUGUUGAUCCAUGAUUUGCUCUGGUGAGAAGAAGAGUUGCUGCUUAGUAUUACAUAUGCUGCUGCUGCUGAUUCAUGCUUUGCUCUUUCUCUGGUGAGAAGAGGAGAGAAGAAGAGUUGGUGCUGAUUUAUGGUUUUAGGUUCUCUUAUUUAGGAUUGUAGAAGUUGUUGUGUUUUUGUGUGUGUGCAAGUUACAUUUUCUUGUUAGAUCUUGUGAGAAGAAGAGUUGUUGCAUCUGGUCUUAGUUUUAACUGAACACAUCCUGUAGUUUUAACUGAAUUUUGAACUGCUUGGAUGCAGUGUGCGAUUCAUUAAUGGGAAAAAGUGUGUGCACUCCUUUUUUCACUCUAGAAAUUGAGCAUGGUGGCAUUUUCCUAGGAGCAGUCAGUGAGAUGGAGUAUUACAACUCUUCUAUGGAGGUGCUGGACUAUUUAGAUCCUGCCACAUUUAGUUAUGAAGUAUUAGAACAUCACCUAAACUGGUUGGGAUAUCCUAAGAAUCAGCACAUCAUCUACUGGUGUUUGCCUGACAAGAAAAUAUUUGAUGGUGUGGUGAGAAUUACAGAUGAUGAGGAUCUGCAGCAAGUGAUCAGAGCUAGUGUUAAUCAUAAAGUGCUUGUAAUAAUGGUUGACCAUUCAGACUUCAUCAGUAAUUUCAGGGAAGAUUUGAUAUUGAAGGAGACAUCAUUUCAAAGCCCUGUUAGAGUGGCCAACUGUUCUGUUGAUGCAAGAAAUUCAGGCAACAUCAUCUGUUUGAAUGUUGAUAAACCAAUUUCAGAGGUUGCAGAAGAUAGCACAGAACCAGACAAUUUGCUUAAUGAUGCUGCAAAUCUUCUUACUGAUGUUGUACACACACAUGUGCUUACUGAUGGUGCAGAGCCAAAAUUGCUGAAUGAUGGUGCUGCAGACUCAAACUUGCAGAAUGAUGUUGCUGCAGACUCAAAUUUGCAGAAUGAUGGUGCAGAGUCAAACUUUCUGAAUGAUGCUGCCCAGCCUAACUUGCUGACUGAUGUUGUGUUGUUGGAAGAAUCAGAUAUCAGUGAUAGUGAUUAUGACAUUCAUGAUGGAGAUGAUGAUUUGUAUGAAGACAACAUUGACUAUGAUGUUGAUGAAGAAGCUGAGCUAGAGGUGGAAGAUGUUGAGCCUGAGUAUUUACUUGAAGAUGAAGAUCUGAACCUCUCCAUUGAACAACAAGAACAACUUAAGUACAAGUUCACAGCAUUCAAUUCAAAGGUGGACAUGAAAUGCCCUGUUUUCACUUUGGGUAUGGUAUUUGCUGAUGUGGUUGAGAUGAGGAAAGCUCUAACUGCCUAUGCAAUAAGAAACAGAGUGCAAAUUAAGAAGGUGAAGAAUGACAAGAUAAGGUUAGAGACAAUUUGUCAGGCAGGGUGCCCAUGGAUGCUCAAGGCUGGCAAUGAUAACAGGACUGGAGGAUUUGUGAUCAAGGCAUUCAAUCCAUUGCAUUUGUGUCAAAAGAAAUGGAAGUUAAAGGAUUUGACAGCUAAAUUCCUAUGCAAGACAUUCAUUGAAGAAUUCAGAGAUGACCAGAAGAUGUCACUUGUAACAUUUGCAAGGAAAAUAACUAAGGAGUUUAAUGUUACUCCUAACAGAUGGAAGUUAGCUAGGGCUAGAACAGAAGCACUUAAGCAGAUCCAUGGUGAUGAGGAAGAACAGUUUAGUAGGCUAUGGGAUUAUGGCCAUGAGUUAAGGAGCAAAAACCCUGGCUCUACAUUCCUGCUGACAACUACACUGGUAAAAGAUACAAAAUUUCCAUUGGGUAGGAAAUGUUUGAAAACAUUGUACUGGUCAUAUGGUGCAUGUAAGAGAGGGUGGCUAAAAGGUUGGAGACCCAUUCUAUUUAUUGAUGGUUGUCACAUGAAAACAAGAUUCAAAGGAGUGCUUCUUAGUGUUGUUGGAAUUGAUCCAAAUGACUGCAUUUUCCCCAUUGCAAUGGGUUGGGUGGAAGUAGAAUGCACUGGUUCUUGGGAGUGGUUCCUCACAACUCUAAGAGAUGAUCUGAACAUCAACAACACUGCUCCUUUCACAGUAAUGAGUGAUAAGCAGAAAGGAUUAAUCAAUGCAGUGCACAAAGUUUGGCCAGAUUCAGAACACAGGUUUUGUGUGAGGCAUAUUUAUCAAAAUUUUAGUGAGAAGCACAAAGGAGAGGUACUGAAGCAAGAUUUGUGGGCCAUUGCAAGAUCACCAAACAAGGUGAAGUGGAGAGAGAACUGUCAGAAAAUGGAUGAUCACUCCUCAGCUGCCUUCCAUUGGACUGAAAGACUUGAGGCAAAAACCUGGUGCAAGGCAUUUUUCAGUACAUUUCCCAAAUGUGAUAUUCUGUUGAACAAUAACUCUGAAGUGUUUAACAGUUACAUUCUUGAUGGCAGAGAUAUGGCAGUUCUUAGUAUGCUUGAAUAUAUCUUCUACAAGAUCAUGCAUAGGAUAGUGACUAAACAAAGAGAAGUUAUAGAAAAGUGGACAGGGCAUAUAAUAUUCCCAAAGAUAAGGAAGAAAUUAGAGAAAAACACUAAGUUUGCUGCAAAAUGUCAUGUAUUAGAAGCUGGCCAACAAAUCUUCAGAGUUCAGUCUGGUAACUCUAGCUACACAGUUGAUCUUUGCAAGCACACAUGUGAAUGCAUGAGAUGGCAGUUGUCUGGGGUACCAUGUGGCCAUUCCACAACUUGUUGGAGAGAGGAGAGGAUUGACCCAGAGACAAUGGUUCAUNNNNNNNNNNNNNNNNNNNNNNNNNNNNNNNNNNNNNNNNNNNNNNNNNNNNNNNNNNNNNNNNNNNNNNNNNNNNNNNNNNNNNNNNNNNNNNNNNNNNGAAAAAACACAGCAAUGUGUUACCUACCCUGUUAAGCUAGUCCCGUAUCAAGCGCACACACAUAUCUUCAUCUCCAGCUCUCGCUGGCCUCCUCCAGUGCCCUUCCCUCACAGCCACUCCCCCUCUCACUUCAUCUCCUACCCUUUAUUCCUCUCAAUAACGAAUCAUGUUCCGCAGAGGUGACUGGCAGGGGCACAAAGAUCGAUGGCGCGAGGGACGAGGCAGAUUGACAAGUACUUUCGCGGUGCAGGAUGCUUCCACGAUCUCCUUACAUGUUUCCUUCGACAUGAUCCUUCGUGUUUCUUCCGAAAAUCACAUCGAAGGUCCAUAGCACGGAUACCAAUUGUUGGCCCUCACCGCGUAGUUUAAGUCAUGGCAAGUGUAGCUCACGUUACCUAUGGCUGUACUAGCAAGUUCACUGGUCUUAGAGGUCAGCUGCAUCCUGCAUAUGCAGUGGUCGUCGAGGCACUAAUCUGAUGCUGAUAUGCAUCGAAACCGGAGCGGACGGUUACUCAGCCUACUUCAACAUUGCAACGGUGAACCCAUGUACCAAUUUGACCAUAUGUGAUCUUCGGAUUUCCAAUGUCUCUCAAGCGUACCCGUGUUGAGGUGCUAAUUUUAUGGCCUUUCAUUCAACCUGUUUGUUUUCUCUUCCAUCCCUUCCUCUGUUACGACUAUUAGGUGGUAGCUGGUAGCAACCGCCAUCUUUGCUCUAUGACUCUUUUUAUAGCUUGGUUUAGGUAACAUGUCGCGUGUACAACACGAGUGUAUUAUUUCUCUGUCGUGGCCAUGGACGGGGAGCCAGGGAGCAUGUGGCCCAUAUGAGAAAACAUAAAUACACAUGGCAUCUUUUAAGAGUAGUUGAUAGCUAGUAAUACCUACUCUGGAAAUGUAACAUGCCCGCAUUCUGCCAAAUCUCUUUAGGCGUAUUAUGACUCCACACUGUUUGAUUGUCAGUGUUGCCCAUAAUUAUUUAUAGCCCUAAUAUUUACAUAGAAAAUUUCAUUGUCAAUUUAGUUCUCCAUAUAAAUGUGCUUACAUAAGAAAUAAUUAAAAAAAUUGAACUAGCAAAUUGGCCCCCGCACCCCGCAUCAUCCUUAAUGUAUUGUAAGUGUCGAAAAAAUAAAUUUUUGAUUUCAUUUAUAUCCAUCUUAUGCCACAGAGAAUAUAUAAUAUGGUUAUCUCUUUUUUGCAAAAAAUAUAACAUGGUUCUCUAACUGCCAUAAAUUUUAUAGCAAGUAGAACAUGAUGGGUGCAAAGCAUUCACUAAUCUUUAAUUUGUGGGUGACCUAUAUUCUUAUGUCAUUCACUGCAGGAAUCACUAUUUUUUGCGGUUUCUAGCCUUCUAGGCUCGUCGUCAAGGAGGAGUUCAUGGGCGCAACCACUACUGCCGAAUAAUGAUCAUGUCUAUCAGUUGUAUAAUUAAUUCGUAUUAUCAACCACUCAUUUUCUGUGGUUGCUAUCAACGAGGAUAAAAUCCAUUGUUUGGUACUACUAGCUCGUAUUGAACCGAAAGCAAACUAGUGCACAAAAUUGGUGAAUUAAGCCAUGCUGUUUUUAUUUCUAGAAAAGGGGGAUAGCACCACCAGUUUCUGCAUCAAUUUAUGCACACACCAUAUAUUAUUUAAUAUUAAGUAUGCCAAGCAAAGCGAUGUCGAACAAGACCAUGUAGAGAGGAUGAUGAAGUGACGAUGAGUGUAGCAAGCAGCCACAUAACAAAGCCAGUUUUCAUGAGAGCAUACAAGGACUGGUUUGGUGCUUAUGUGUAUAAAUUCUUGAGUAGGUAGUAACUCACCCUAGUUCAACAUUGCAACGGUGAACCUUCAAGCUGAUGGGCUAGACAUCCGAGUGUUUCUGAUGUUUCCCAAGCCUAUCAGAAUUAAGCUACUAAAAGUUUCAGCCCUCACUCAAUUUACUUUUUUUAAGAACAGGUGUGCCUGACUUCAAAUUAAUAAAGUCAAAACAGGCAGCAGUAACAACUAAAGUCACCAUGCAAAUAGUUUGAAACAAAUAAAACCACUGAUACAAAUUGUAACGCCACAGGAGCGCUAAUGGUGGGCAGACAACCUAACUAGAUGGGGUGCUUCAAUGGACAGCGUGCAACUGCUUGAUCUUUUGAAGAAUGGACGGCAAAGCUUCAUUGUUGUCCUCCUUCUUCCCUAGAGGCCACCAUAGCUGAAAAAAGAUGGACCAUUUGAAAAUGUAGUUAGCCGGGUGAGACAGCACGACUCCUUUGAUGGCCAGUUUAUUUCUAUACGUCCAGAGAGCCCACAGUAGCGCAUAGAAACAAUUCUAGAUUGGCCUACUUGUUGCCCACGACAAUAAUCUAAUAGGCUGCAAAUAUCUUUACCUAAAUGGUAAUGCCUACUUGUGUGCCACUUAUCAACAUGGUCCAAAAGCAUGUGAUGUCGUUCAAUUCAUUUGCACUAAUAUUGUAGAAGUUGCCAUCUGAGUCGAAAGCCACGUAAGCACUCAGCAUCGUGUGGGUGAACGGCUCCUUGCCCACAUAGACACCAUCGAGUCCAUUAGUGCAUGGCUGCUCGCGUCUUCAUAUGGAUGAACCGUUCCUCGCCCACACGGACACCAUCAAGUCCAUUAGCGCACGGCUGCUUGCGUCAUCGUGUGGAUGAACUGCUCUUCACCCACACAGACAUCAUCCAGUCCAUUAGCGCACGACUGCUCGUGUCGUCAUGUGGGUGAACAGCUCUUCGCCCACACAGAUAUCAUCCAGUCCAUUAGCGCACGGCUGCUCGCAUCGUCAUGUGGGUGAACUGCUCUUCGCCCACACGACGCUCGCAUGAUGAUAAAUGACAACUAUAGUUAUGCAUAUGUGGCAUGAAGCCUCGGAACUACCAGAGAGCUGAGCUCGAGUGUCAAUGGCGAGAGAGAGGAGUGUUUUGUGCAGCNNNNNNNNNNNNNNNNNNNNNNNNNNNNNNNNNNNNNNNNNNNNNNNNNNNNNNNNNNNNNNNNNNNNNNNNNNNNNNNNNNNNNNNNNNNNNNNNNNNNAGCCAAGAGCAUGUGGCACACCAGAGAAAACAUAAAGACAAUACAUGUGACAUUAUUUAAGAGGAGCUCGUAGUCACUAGUGGAAUACUUACUCUGCAAAUGUAACAUGUGAAUGUUCAGCUAUAUCUCCUAGGGUCUAACGUGCCUCCACACCACUUGAUUUGUCGGAGUUGCCAUAAUUACUAUUGCCACAAUAUUACAUAGAAAAGUUUCAAUGUAAAUUUAAUUCUCUAUAUAAAUGUGACUCUGGAGAAAAUACUUUUUUUAGCUAGCACAGCGGCCCUUGUAAACGUGAGGUCAUCAUCUUGAUGUGUUAAAGAUGUUGGAAAAUAAAUUUGAUGAUUUCAUAAAUAUUCAUAUUAUGCCAAACCCGUUACCACUAGGAUGACAAUCUCUUUUACCUCCGACACUGACGUUGAUGUGUCUUUUUGAACAAUUGUCUAGACUGAAAAUAACUUUUUCCAGAAGUGUUCUCCUCUGGACUCAUGGAAAAAAACUUAACUACAAUCAAUUGUUUACUUGUGAGAUUGAAUCUAUCCCAUUUAGUUAUCUAGGCAUUUCAAUUCACCACCAAAAAUUAAUGAACAAAGAAUAAAAAUGUAUUGAGGAUAGUUUGAAAAAGAAACUUAGUUAUAUGAAGGGCAACCUAAUGUCCUAUGGGGAUAAACUGAUACAUGUGAACUUGGUGCUUACGAGUCUGCCUAUGUUCAUGCUUUCUUUCUUCGAAAUACUCGCAGGGGUGCCAAAAAGAUUGGACUUUCAUAUAUCAUGUUAUUUUACACAGGGGUCAAAUAAAUCAAAAUAUACUAAAUGGAUAUUAUGUGUAAGCCAAAGGACCAAGGGAGUUUGGGUAUUGAGAACCUAGAGAUUAAGAACAAAUGUUUGCUUAGUAAAUGGCUUUAUCGUUGUGUGUGUGUGUGCGGGGGAGGGGGUUAUUAAUUAAUACGAUACUUUUGUAACAAGUAUCUACACUCCAAGACCUUAUAUGGUACUUGUGUAACAAGUAUCUACACUCCAGGACCUCAUCUCAAGUAAUGGCUCAGCCAAAUGAUUUACCCUUUUGGAAGUGCUUGAUGAUGACUAAGAAUAUUUUUUUAGAGUAAAACACAUCAUAAGUCCUAAAACUAUUUAUAGUGUGUCAGCUUAGGCCUAUAACUUUAAAGCUGGAGUUUUGUGUCCAAAAACAAUUCGAGGUGUGUCAGUUUAGUCCUAUAAUUUUGAAAUUAUAGUUCUGGGUCCCAAAACUAUAGGAUGUGUGUUAGUUUAGUCCUAAAAACUUUGAAACGGCAGUUUUGGGUCUCAAAACUUUGUCAGUUUGUUCAUUUCACGUCCUAAAUCUGCAUGACCAGCAUUGACCCGCUGAUGUGUCACUUCGGCAUCCGUGUUGCCCAACAUUUUUGUUCCACUGAAUUUGACCAGCACCUGGGGUUAUACAUGUUUUGGUCAAUUGAGGUGGCAGAGGAGAUGUGAAUCCCAUGUGUCAACGACUUAAUAUUAUGUUCUUCCGGCGACGCAUUUUAUUGUUCACAUUUUGGGCCGCCGAAGUCCAGCACCCACGCACUUGUGGUCGACGGAUAGGCAAUGCAGAGGAGCUCGUCCCCGACCGACCACUCAAUUGGCGGCGACAGAGAGGCAUGCAGCCGCGUUCGUCGCCCAUGAGCACUUGUUUUGCCUGCCGAUCUGUGCAUCAAUGAGGAGAGCGCCGGCGAGCAUGACGUGCUUCACGUAACUGUCGCUGAAAAAGCUAGCGAGCCUAGUGGGCAAGCCGCUGAAGGAGGUAGCCCGUCCCACAACCCUCUGUCCGUGUGGACUGCACAGUACACACAACCCCAUGCAAGGACUCUCUGUGUUUAAUGCUCUUGCAGCUCAGCUUUGUAUGGGGAGACCAUUGAGGCAUUGAUCUUAUGCUUAUGUGCAUGAAUACCGGAGCGGGUGGUCACUCAAUCUAGGCCAAUAUUGCCACUGUAAAUAAGCAAGCACUUACACAAGCGGUCUCAGUGUUUCUGAUAUCUCUCAAGCCUACUAAGUGUAGCUGAUAAAAGUUUUGGCUUUUGCUUCAUGUUUUUGCCGCUCCUCUUUCAUUACUUCCUCUGUUUUCAGUAUUAUGUGGUAGCCAGCACCAUGCUUGCUUUAUACAACCUCUUAUAGCAUGGUUUCGAUACCAUGCCGCGUGUACAACAAAGUUUAUUAUGUCUCUAUGGGUGAUGGACGGGGCAGCCAGAGCCCAAAGCAUGUGACACACCAGAGAAAACAUAAAGAAAAUACAUGUGACAUUAUUUAAGAGGAGCUUGGUUGUCACUAGUGGAAUACUUACUAUGCAAAUAUAACAUGUGCAUGUUCAGCUAUAUCUCCUAGGGUCUAACGUGCCUCCACACCACUUGAUUCGCCGGAGUUGCCAUAAUCACUAUAGCCACAAUAUUACAUAGAAAAGUUUCAAUGUUAAUUUAAUUCUCUAUAUAAAUGUGACUUCUGGAAAAAAAUACUUUUUUUAGCUAGCACAUCGGACCUUGUAUUUUUUUAGCUAGCACAUCGGACCUUGUAAAUGUGAGGUCAUCAUCUUGAUCUGUUAAAAAUGUUGGAAAAUAAAUUUGAUGAUUUCAUAAAUAUUCAUAUUAUGCCAAACACGUUACCACUAGGAUGACAAUCUCUUUUACCUCCGACAUUAACGUUGAUGUGCCUUUUUGAACAACUGUCUAGACUGAAAAUAACUUUUUCCAGAAGUGUUCUCCUUUGGACUCGUGGAUUUUUUUUACUACAAUCAAUUUUUUUACUUGUGAGAUUGAAUCUCUCCCAUUUAGUUAUCUAGGGAUUUCAAUUCACCACCAAAAAUUAAUGAACAAAUAAUAAAAAUGUAUUGAGGAUAGAUUUGAAAAAGAAACUUACUUAUUGGAAGGGUAACCUAAUGUCCUAUGGGGAUAAACUGAUACGUGUGAACUUGGUGCUCGCGAGUCUGUCUAUGUUCAUGCUAUCUUUCUUCAAAAUACUCAGAGGGGUGCCAAAAAGAUUGGACUUUCAUAU
rnacentral:lncRNA from 1 species